AUACGGAGGGUCCGAGCGUUAAGCGGAAUUACUGGGCGUAAAGCGCGCGUAGGCGGCUAUAUAAGUCAGAUGUGAAAUCCCUGGGCUCAACCUAGGAACUGCAUUUGAAACUGUAUGGCUAGAGUAUGGUAGAGGUGAGUGGAAUUUCAGGUGUAGCGGUGAAAUGCGUAGAGAUCUGAAGGAACAUCAGUGGCGAAGGCGACUCACUGGGCCAUUACUGACGCUGAGGUGCGAAAGCGUGGGUAGCAAACAGGAUUAGAAACCCCAGUAGUCC
rnacentral:rRNA from 1 species